rnacentral:rRNA from 1 species
GACGAACGCUGGCGGCGUGCCUAAUACAUGCAAGUCGAACGCUUCUUUCCUCCCGAGUGCUUGCACUCAAUUGGAAAGAGGAGUGGCGGACGGGUGAGUAACACGUGGGUAACCUACCCAUCAGAGGGGGAUAACACUUGGAAACAGGUGCUAAUACCGCAUAACAGUUUAUGCCGCAUGGCAUAAGAGUGAAAGGCGCUUUCGGGUGUCGCUGAUGGAUGGACCCGCGGUGCAUUAGCUAGUUGGUGAGGUAACGGCUCACCAAGGCCACGAUGCAUAGCCGACCUGAGAGGGUGAUCGACCACACUGGGACUGAGACACAGCCCAGACUCCUACGGGAGGCAGCAGUAGGGAAUCUUCGGCAAUGGACGAAAGUCUGACCAAGCAACGCCGCGUGAGUGAAGAAGGUUUUCGGAUCGUAAAACUCUGUUGUUAGAGAAGAACAAGGACGUUAGUAACUGAACGUCCCCUGACGGUAUCUAACCAGAAAGCCACGGCUAACUACGUG